UACGUAGGGGGCUAGCGUUGUCCGGAAUCAUUGGGCGUAAAGCGCGCGUAGGCGGCCCGGUAAGUCCGUUGUGAAAGUCAAAGGCUCAACCUUUGAAAGCCGAUGGAUACUGCCGGGCUGGAGUCCGGAAGAGGCGAGUGGAAUUCCUGGUGUAGCGGUGGAAUGCGUAGAGAUCCGGAAGAACACCGGUGGCGAAGGCGGCCUGACUGGGCAGUUGCUGACGACUGAGGCGCGACAGCGUGGGGAGCAAACAGGG
rnacentral:rRNA from 1 species